rnacentral:rRNA from 1 species
CAUUCCUACGGGACUCAGCAGUGGGGAAUAUUGGGCAAUGGGCGCAAGCCUGACCCAGCAACGCCGCGUGAAGGAAGAAGGCUUUCGGGUUGUAAACUUCUUUUAUGAGGGACGAAAGAAAUGACGGUACCUCAUGAAUAAGCCACGGCUAACUACGUGCCAGCAGCCGCGGUAAUACGUAGGUGGCAAGCGUUAUCCGGAUUUACUGGGUGUAAAGGGCGUGUAGGCGGGACUGCAAGGCAGAUGUGAAAAUUAUGGGCUCAACCCAUAACCUGCAUUUGAAACUGAAGUUCUUGAGU